GGGGGGGGGGGGGCUAAGAUGAAAAAUUUGUCCUGCAUUUUUUUUUAGCUGUAAUCUCUGUCCUGCCUUUUUAUUUUUCACUCUGUUCGGUCCUGCCUUUUUUUUUUUUUUUUUAGUUUAUCCUGACUUUUUUUUACCUAAAUUGUCGUCCUGACUUUUUUUUUUUUUGCAAGUGUCUCAUCCUGCCUUUUUUUUUUACUCAAAACUCCUGUCCUGCCUAUUUUUUUUCAAAUUUCAUCCUAGCCCCCCCCCAUAAAAAUCAAAUGGUAGCUCCCUUACAAC
rnacentral:lncRNA from 1 species